rnacentral:lncRNA from 1 species
CAAAUCCAGCAAACCCUAACCCAGGGAAUGCUGCACCUCCUCCACCACUAGCAGAACCUAUGGUCCCUGAUAUCCAAACACCCAAACCUAGCUUAUCUGUGGGGAGCAAAGUAAAGAUGACAGAUUACCUGAAGCUGGAUGCUCCCAAGUUGAAGACAGGUGAUGAUCCGUUUGAGUACCUCAAAAUGGUGAAGAUGAUAACGGAUGAGCUAGGAGCCAGUGAUAGUAGAGCCAUUCAGAUGGCGGGGUUCACAUUGAAAUGUAAGAAAGCAAGGGAGUGGUUUAAAAACUAUGUGGACCCGAG